GACGAACGCUGGCGGCGUGCUUAACACAUGCAAGUCGAACGGAAAGGCCCUGCUUUUGUUGGGUUCUCGAGUGGCGAACGGGUGAGUAACACGUGAGUAACCUGCCCUUGACUUUGGGAUAACUUCAGGAAACUGUGGCUAAUACCGGAUAUGAUCUCCUGCUGCCUGGUGGGGGUUGGAAAGUUUCGGCGGUUGGGGAUGGACUCGCGGCUUAUCAGCUUGUUGGUGGGGUAGUGGCUUACCAAGGCUUUGACGGCUAGCCGGCCUGAGAGGGUGACCGGCCACAUUGGGACUGAGAUACGGACCAGACUCCUACGGGAGGCAGCAGUGGGGAAUAUUGCACAAUGGGCGGAAGCGUGAUGCAGAAACGCCGCGUGCGGGAUGACGGCCUUCGGGUUGUAAACCGCUUUCGCCUGUGACGAAGCGUGAGUGACGGUAAUGGGUAAAGAAGCACCGGCUAACUACGUG
rnacentral:rRNA from 1 species